rnacentral:lncRNA from 1 species
GCAACAGUGACUCUUGCCCACUGAUGUGCAUUUCUAGCUUCAGAACCCAUGACUUUUUAUGAUUCUUCAGUGUGAUCCCCACAAUGGCCUCGGGGACCUAUACCGAGACCAUUGUCACGAUGUGACUUCUGUAAACCAUAAAGCAGCCCCUGUGUUUUACAAUCUGCUUCCUUUUGUCCUCCCUUCUCCCUUCAGAGAGCCACUUUAGCACCACGACUAGAAGGACAGGAACAACCAGAGCCCCAUCAAAUCCAGCAGAACUUGAUGGGUUUGACUUGGAAGAUGCC